UACGUAGGGUGCGAGCGUUGUCCGGAAUUAUUGGGCGUAAAGGAGCUCGUAGGCGGCCUGUCGCGUCGGAUGUGAAAGCCCGGGGCUUAACCCCGGGUCUGCAUUCGAUACGGGCAGGCGUAGAGUGUGGUAGGGGAGAUCGGAAUUCCUGGUGUAGCGGUGAAAUGCGCAGAUAUCAGGAGGAACACCGGUGGCGAAGGCGGAUCUCUGGGCCAUUACUGACGCUGAGGAGCGAAAGCGUGGGGAGCGAACAGG
rnacentral:rRNA from 1 species